GUCUGAACAAAGGCUCAUUCCACAGAGUCAGGAAAGCAGAGGGGGCAGUAUUUGGGGAAGAGGCCCAGGAGGAAGGGUAGGGGGGGCCAAGUUGGCCAGGCCCUUCUUGAUGCUGAAUGGCAGGAGGACUUUGAAGAAGUGACAGGGUCAGAGGUGCCAUCCAGAAAGAUCACCCUGAUCAGAGCUGGGAGAAUGGAGGUGCCGGGCAGGAGCAGAUGCCAGGGCCUGCUUGGAGGCAACUGGAAUACUCCAGGCAUAUGACUUCUAUCCUCAAAGUCACAAGAUGGCUGCUGGAGUUCCAGUCAGGAUGUCUGUACAGAACAUCUGUCCAGUCCCUGGGAUGGUGAGGCUAUAACCACAAAGGAAUAAGAGAAGACGACUAGUUUUGUAAUGGGGACAUUGGCUGCUGUCUUCUGACCCACCCUGUGUGGCUUUGGCGUCUCCUGUGACCUCCCAGUAUGGGUCUUGGCCUCAUCCUGCCUCUUUGUCUUUCUGGCCCACCACCCACAGCUUGAAUCUCAGGCUCCAACAGUUGCCUGACCCCCAGAUUCUGAUGACAGCCUACCUACUUGUUCUUCAGGCCCUCACCAGACUCACUGCCCAGACACACCACACAGGAGAACAUGAAAGGGUGAAUGAAUCUUUCAUCAUUUGAUGACCAAGUUGGCAUUCUUUUACAUUCCAGCCACCAGAGGAAGGUGUAUUUUAACACAAUUGCCCUCACAUCCUCCUUAACAGGAUUUACAUAAGUUUAUUAACACAUAUGUUUCUACAAAAUCAAGUUUUGAGAACCAUUUUUAUACACUGAUCUGGGACAUUUUGGGGAUAUGAAAUUAACUUUAGCACACACAGCAAGAAGAAAACCGAACAACAAAUUCUACAAACACCAAAUUUGCUGUGAAAUUUACAUUUCAGAAUCUCUCAAGAAAUAGUGCCCAGCAGCAAUUCUUACUGUUUUCACUUUUUCCCCCGUCUUCACAUUUUUAUGUUUGACAGUGCCAACAUAUUUUCUCAACAUUUAUUCUGAAAGGAAUGUACUUUGUGAAUUCCUUAAAUGCAGGAUGAUUCUGAUUUUAUUGGCCUAAUAGCUCCUCCUUAUGCGUGGGUUAGUAUAACAGAAUGCAUUUGAGACCUGCUAUACUAUUUUAAAUUAAGACAUUUCAUGUAGCACAUAGUAUUUUAAAAUGAAGAACAUUGUCUUGGAAAGCACACAGGCUAACUGCUAUUUUCUUGAUGCAAGAAAUAUUUAAAUUCUCUGUGCUUCAGUCUAUACAAUCAGUUUUCCAGGGAUGCUGUGUAUAUAAAACGAGGGAGUGUAUUAAGAGUAUCAGCAUGUAGUAGGUCCUUCAACAGAAGCUGGAGGUUCUGGCUCAAGGUCUGGCUUGUGUUCAAUGAACACCAAACCACAUAAUUGCCC
rnacentral:lncRNA from 10 species